GCCGGUUUCCGUGGCUUAGUUGGCAAAACACCAGACUAUGGUGCGGUGGGAUUCGGGUUCGAGCCCCGGUGAAGGCA